rnacentral:rRNA from 1 species
AAAUUGAAGAGUUUGAUCAUGGCUCAGAUUGAACGCUGGCGGCAGGCCUAACACAUGCAAGUCGAACGGUAACAGGAAGCAGCUUGCUGCUUCGCUGACGAGUGGCGGACGGGUGAGUAAUGUCUGGGAAAGUGCCUGAUGGAGGGGGAUAACUACUGGAAACGGUGGCUAAUACCGCAUAACGUCGCAAGACCAAAGAGGGGGACCUUCGGGCCUCUUGCCAUCAGAUGUGCCCAGAUGGGAUUAGCUAGUUGGUGAGGUAACGGCUCACCAAGGCGACGAUCCCUAGCUGGUCUGAGAGGAUGACCAGCCACACUGGAACUGAGACACGGUCCAGACUCCUACGGGAGGCAGCAGUGGGGAAUAUUGCACAAUGGGCGCAAGCCUGAUGCAGCCAUGCCGCGUGUAUGAAGAAGGCCUUCGGGUUGUAAAGUACUUUCAGCGGGGAGGAAGGUGUUGUGGUUAAUAACC